AGAGUUUGAUCCUGGCUCAGGACGAACGCUGGCGGCAGGCUUAACACAUGCAAGUCGCACGAGAACGCUCCUUCGGGAGCAAGUAAAGUGGCGGACGGGUGCGUAACGCGUAGACAACCUGCCCUUGAGCGGGGGAUAACCACGGGAAACUGUGGCUAAUACCGCAUAACGUCCGGAUCCCGCAUGGGAACCGGAUCAAAGUCUUCGGACGCUCAGGGAUGGGUCUGCGUCGGAUUAGCUCGUUGGUGAGGUAACAGCUCACCAAGGCAACAAUCCGUAGCUGGUCUGAGAGGAUGAUCAGCCACACUGGCACUGAGACACGGGCCAGACACCUACGGGUGGCAGC
rnacentral:rRNA from 1 species